AAUGAACGUUGGCGGCGUGGAUUAGGCAUGCAAGUCGCGCGAGAAGUUUCCUUCGGGAGACGGACAGCGGCGGAAGGGAGAGGAAUAAGUAGAAAUCUGCCCUCGGGACGGGGAUAGCGGCGGGAAACUGCCGGUAAUACCCGAUAACAUCUUUGGAUCAAAUGGUGUGAUUCCGCCUGAGGAUGAGUCUACUUCCUAUUAGCUAGUUGGUGUGGUAAUGGCUCACCAAAGGCAACGAUGGGUAGCGGGUGUGAGAGCACGAUCCGCCUCACUGGGACUGAGACACUGCCCAGACACCUACGGGAGGCAGCAGUUGGGAAUCUUCGGCAAUGGGCGCAAGCCUGACCGAGCAAACGCCGCGUGAGUGAUGAAGGUUUUCGGAUUGUAAAGCUCUGUCUUCCGGGACGAUAAUGACGGUACCGGAGGAGGAAGCCACGGCUAACUACGUG
rnacentral:rRNA from 1 species